rnacentral:lncRNA from 1 species
AAGAAUUGAAGAUUCAAACUUCUACAAGCUCUCAAGUCUUCCGGUCGAAAAGAGAAGAUCAGUGUUGGAGCUUUAAGGUUAUUACAUUUGUGGUUUGUUUUCUUUUAUUUUUCUUUAAACAUCUCUAAUCUUUUUACUUCAAAAAUAUUAAACUCAAUUCAAAAACUUCUCUCUUCUCUACAAAAUUUCUCGCUUCUCUUGUUUGUUUUUCAUUACAAUUUUAUCAUUUCUUUUUAACCAAUACUUCAAUUAUUAUACAUUACAUUGUAAAAAGAAUAUUCAUAAGUAAUAAAAAAAAACACACACACACACACAAAUAUAUGAAUAUGUUGGUAAUACUCAACCUUAAAAACUAGUCAGAACUUGUAUCUGAAUGAAUUGUGUGUAUGAUAUGUUAAGAGAGAUAGCAAUGAAUGGAGAAUAUGACCAUAUUUAUUUACCUUAUAGAAAAUAAAAAAAUUUACUUUUAAGAGUUUUACGGUUGAAACUCGUUUUACUCUACUAUUCAAUAUUAAACCUUGGAGUUUUGUUUGUGAACAACUUAAUUUGGCAAUCUUAUCAUAAAAACAUACAAUUUACCUCACCAGUCUUAUGGAAGAGUUUGUUAGCAACCAACAUUUUAAAAAAAUAGUACAUAUUUGGUUUUUUUGUAAUAUCAAGAUAACUAAAGUAUAUAAUCCAUAUAUUAUGUAUAAUUAUGUUCUCAAAUACAAGAUAUGUGAUUUGCUCUACAAUUUUAGUAAUAUCUAAAAAAAAUAGAUUUGAAAUAUAUUUUCAAAUAAGGUAUUUUAAUAUAUUAUAGAUUUUUCAAAUCUGAACAAAUAGAUGAAACUCGCUCUUCCAUAUCUCUUCCAUCCUUCUUUUCUCUCUCGUGUUUAAUUUCACAUUAUUUUUGUAGUAGUAACUUUUCCUCUCAUAUUUUGUGUAUAUUAUAUCUUAUAACAUUACAAAAUAUUUUUUAGAUGGUAGAUUUGUAUAUAGAUUUAGAAAAUGAUUUUUUAAAAAAGAUAUAACAAUCCGGUAAAAUAUUUACAUUGAACAAUUUCAAAAACGAAAAAAGCUCACAAACGCGCAAUGAAAAAUACAAAAAUAUCUCAGUCAACACGCUAUUAAUUGACCACAUGCGUGCGUGUAAUUCUUCUAAUAUGCAAUCGUGUAGGAAAUGAUCUUGGUUUAAGAUCAUGAUCUUGUACGUUUUAGAUUUGGUACGCGAUCGUAUACCCAAUCUAAAACCUAAAUCUAAACGAUCGUGUACCAAUAUAUUUUUGUUCAAGAUCAUGUAUCAAGCUCUUUUAUAUUUUAUACACGAUCAUAAACCAAAUAAAACUUUGAAAAAAAUAAUAUAAAAUUGAUGAUUGAUUGAAAACAAAGAUCACAAUUGAUUGAUUGAAAACAAAGAUCACGAUUUCAAAAAAAAAAAAAAAUGCAAAAGAAGAAAGAAGAAAGAAGAUGAAAAGGAAAGAGGAAAUUCAAAAGCGGCAAGAGAAAACUUGGAAUACUUUUUAAAAACUAGUCAACUUCAUGAGCUUUUUUAUUUUGUUACACAGCCGUAAAUAUUUUGGUGUUUUGUUAUAUAUAUUUCUGAAAAUUAAUCUUUAAAAAAAUACAUAUGUUUUUUUAAACCAUUUGUUAAUUUUUAAAAAAAGAAAGAAAAAAAGCAUACGUUUACUUAAGUUUUGAAGACUGGCAUUGUUUACUUAAGUUUGGAGAUUCUACCAUUCAUCUUCAAGGUCGUUUUGAUCGUCCUUCACAGACAUUGAAAGGCUUCACGACUUUACGGAUUUUGAUUGGAGGAUUUUUUUCCUCUACCAUGAAGACUUCUAAUGAAUAGACAAUAGAGAGCUUCACAUAUUCACAGAUUUCAACCAAAGAGCUUCAUGCACGAUUGUUUUUUUUUUCUCUUUAGGUGGUAUAGGUUGAAGGUGGAAAGAAGCUAAAGAGAAAACAUAAAAGAAGAAAAAACAGAUAAUUGGUUUCUUCUUGGUUCAUGCACGAAGAGGGAGAAAGAAUCUUAAGUUGUGUUUUAGCAAUUCGAGUUGAUAUGACGCUUGAUAGAUACUUUAAUUACUUACCUAGUAUGUAUUUUAUUACCGUGUAUUUUGAAUGAGUUUUUAAUUUUUUCAGUCUUUUUAAUUAAUUUUGUUAUUUAUCUAGUUGCCAUUAAGAACAAAAUAUCUGAAUGAUAGUCAAUAUAGCUGUGUAGAGGAACAAGUAAUCAAGUUUUUGAACAUUUUAGCUCACAACCAUAAGAGAAUAUUUAUACAUUGCUUGAAC